rnacentral:rRNA from 1 species
GUGGAUAGCAACAUCAGCCUGACCACAUCAGUCUCUUCUGAUUUUGGAAGCUAAGCAGGGUCGGACCAGAUUAGUACAGUACUUGGAUUAGAGACCACCAGGGAAUACCAGAGCUGUCAAGG